rnacentral:rRNA from 1 species
GACGAACGCUGGCGGCGUGCUUAACACAUGCAAGUCGAACGAUGAAGCGGGUGCUUGCACUCGUGGAUUAGUGGCGAACGGGCGAGUAAUACGUGAGUAACCUGUCCUUUUCUUUGGGAUAACGGCUGGAAACGGCUGCUAAUACUGGAUAUUCAGGCUGCAUCGCAUGGUGUGGUUUGGAAAGGUUUUUUCUGGGAUUGGGUGGGCUCGCGGCCUAUCAGCUUGUUGGUGGGGUGAUGGCUUACCAAGGCUUUGACGGGUAGCCGGCCUGAGAGGGUGGUCGGUCGCACUGGGACUGAGAUACGGCCCAGACUCCUACGGGAGGCAGCAGUGGGGAAUAUUGCACAAUGGACGAAAGUUUGAUGCAGCGACGCCGCGUGGAGGGUGUAGGCCUUCGGGUUGUGAACUCCUUUUUCUCGCGAAAAAGGCACAGUUUUGGCUGUGUUGAUGGUAGUGGGGGAAGAAGCGCCGGCUAACUACGUG